UACGAAGGUCCCGAGCGUUGUUCGGAAUCACUGGGCGUAAAGGGAGCGUAGGCGGCGCGGUAAGUCAGAUGUGAAAUCCCGGGGCUCAACCCCGGAACUGCAUCCGAUACUGCCGUGCUAGAGGAUUGGAGAGGUAGCUGGAAUUCUUGGUGUAGCAGUGAAAUGCGUGGAUAUCAAGAGGAACACUCGUGGCGAAAGCGAGCUACUGGACAACUCCUGACGCUGAGGCUCGAAGGCCAGGGUAGCGAAAGGGG
rnacentral:rRNA from 1 species